rnacentral:rRNA from 1 species
UACGUAGGGUGCGAGCGUUGUCCGGAAUUAUUGGGCGUAAAGAGCUUGUAGGCGGUUGUCGCGUCUGCUGUGAAAAUCCGGGGCUCAACCCCGGACUUGCAGUGGGUACGGGCAGACUAGAGUGGUGGUAGGGGAGACUGGAAUUCCUGGUGUAGCGGUGAAAUGCGCAGAUAUCAGGAGGAACGACCGAUGGCGAAGCCAGGUCUCUGGGCCACUACUGACGCUGGAGCACGCGAAAGCGUGGGA